rnacentral:rRNA from 1 species
AGAGUUUGAUCAUGGCUCAGAACGAACGCUGGCGGCGCGUCUUAAGCAUGCAAGUCGAGCGGUAAGGGGAGCUUGCUCCCCCUAGAGCGGCGGACUGGUGAGUAACACGUGGGUGAUCUACCUUUAGGUUGGGAAUAGCCAUUAGAAAUAGUGGGUAAUGCCGAAUGAGGUGGCGUAUUCGAGGAUACGUCAAGAAAGAAGCUAAGGCUUCGCCUGAAGAUGAGCCCGCGGCCCAUUAGCUAGUUGGGGGUGUAACGGACCACCAAGGCGAUGAUGGGUAGCCGGCCUGAGAGGGUGAACGGCCACACUGGGACUGAGAUACGGCCCAGACUCCUACGGGAGGCAGCAGCUAAGAAUAUUCCGCAAUGGACGAAAGUCUGACGGAGCGACGCCGCGUGGAUGACGAAGGCCGAAAGGUUGUAAAAUCCUUUUGUCGAUGAAGAAUAAGUGUGGGAGGGAAUGCCCGCAUGAUGACGUUAGUCGGCGAAUAAGCCCCGGCUAAUUACGUGCCAGCAGCCGCGGUAACACGUAAGGGGCAAGCGUUGUUCGGAAUUAUUGGGCGUAAAGGGUACGUAGGCGGUUGGGUAAGCCCGGCGUGAAAUCCUGCAGCUUAACUGUAGAGCUGCGCUGGGAACUACCGAACUUGAGUCAUGGAAGGGAAGUUAGAAUUCCAGGUGUAGGGGUGAAAUCUGUAGAUAUCUGGAAGAAUACCGGUGGCGAAGGCGAACUUCUGGCCAAUGACUGACGCUGAGGUACGAAAGUGCGGGGAGCAAACAGGAUUAGAUACCCUAGUAGUCC